rnacentral:tRNA from 1 species
GGCUGGUUAGCUCAGUUGGUUGAGCGUGGUGCUGAUAACACCAAGGUCGCGGGUUCAAUCCCCGUUUGGUCCC